CCUGGCUCAGGACGAACGCUGGCGGCGUGCCUAAUACAUGCAAGUCGAACGCUUCUUUCCUCCCGAGUGCUUGCACUCAAUUGGAAAGAGGAGUGGCGGACGGGUGAGUAACACGUGGGUAACCUACCCAUCAGAGGGGGAUAACACUUGGAAACAUGUGCUAAUACCGCAUAACAGUUUAUGCCGCAUGGCAUAAGAGUGAAAGGCGCUUUCGGGUGUCGCUGAUGGAUGGACCCGCGGUGCAUUAGCUAGUUGGUGAGGUAACGGCUCACCAAGGCCACGAUGCAUAGCCGACCUGAGAGGGUGAUCGGCCACACUGGGACUGAGACACGGCCCAGACUCCUACGGGAGGCAGCAGUAGGGAAUCUUCGGCAAUGGACGAAAGUCUGACCGAGCAACGCCGCGUGAGUGAAGAAGGUUUUCGGAUCGUAAAGCUCUGUUGUAAGUCAAGAACGAGUGUGAGAGUGGAAAGUUCACACUGUGACGGUAGCUUACCAGAAAGGGACGGCUAACUACGUGCCAGCAGCCGCGGUAAUACGUAGGUCCCGAGCGUUGUCCGGAUUUAUUGGGCGUAAAGCGAGCGCAGGCGGUUUGAUAAGUCUGAAG
rnacentral:rRNA from 1 species